rnacentral:rRNA from 1 species
GACGAACGCUGGCGGCGCGCCUAACACAUGCAAGUCGAACGGAGUCAAGAGGAGCUUGCUUUUCUUGACUUAGUGGCGAACGGGUGAGUAACGCGUGAGUAACCUGCCCUGGAGUGGGGGACAACAGUUGGAAACGACUGCUAAUACCGCAUAAGCCCACGGAUCUGCAUGGAUCUGCGGGAAAAGGUUUUAUUCGCUCUAGGAUGGACUCGCGUCCAAUUAGCUAGUUGGUGAGGUAACGGCCCACCAAGGCGACGAUUGGUAGCCGGACUGAGAGGUUGAACGGCCACAUUGGGACUGAGACACGGCCCAGACUCCUACGGGAGGCAGCAGUGGGGGAUAUUGCACAAUGGAGGAAACCCUGAUGCAGCGACGCCGCGUGGAGGAAGAAGGUUUUCGGAUUGUAAACUCCUGUCGUUAGGGACGAUAAUGACGGUACCUAACAAGAAAGCACCAGCUAACUACGUG